rnacentral:rRNA from 1 species
GAUGAACGCUGGCGGCGUGCCUAAUACAUGCAAGUCGAGCGAACGGACGAGAAGCUUGCUUCUCUGAUGUUAGCGGCGGACGGGUGAGUAACACGUGGAUAACCUACCUAUAAGACUGGGAUAACUUCGGGAAACCGUAGCUAAUACCGGAUAAUAUUUUGAACCGCAUGGUUCAAAAGUGAAAGACGGUUUUGCUGUCACUUAUAGAUGGAUCCGCGCUGCAUUAGCUAGUUGGUAAGGUAACGGCUUACCAAGGCAACGAUGCAUAGCCGACCUGAGAGGGUGAUCGGCCACACUGGAACUGAGACACGGUCCAGACUCCUACGGGAGGCAGCAGUAGGGAAUCUUCCGCAAAGGGCGAAAGCCUGACGGAGCAACGCCGCGUGAGUGAUGAAGGUCUUCGGAUCGUAAAACUCUGUUAUUAGGGAAGAACAUAUGUGUAAGUAACUGUGCACAUCUUGACGGUACCUAAUCAGAAAGCCACGGCUAACUACGUG